rnacentral:lncRNA from 10 species
GGAAUCUGGAAAACAUUAUAUUGGCUGGGCUAAGCUAUGAUGUUCAGUAGGUUAGGCAUAUUAAAUACAUUUUCAUUUUACAGUAUUUUUAACUUGUAAAGGGUUUAUUGGGAUGAAACUCCACAGCAGGUUGAAGAGCAUCUGUAUAAAGAUCUACAAAUGAAUAAGGAAAAGAUAAAAACCAUAGUGGAAAAAUGGGGAAAGGAUAUAAGCAGAUUCUUCAUGGUAAAAGGAAAUAAAUAAAAUUCAGAGAGGUGAGGGGGAAAAAGAAAAAAAAGGAAAUAAAAAUGAUCACUCAGUAAGAAAAGAUAAGCAAACUCAUAAGCAAUGAGACAAAUUCCCAUUGAAGAGAGAGGUUUUAGCAAAGUGUUAGUACAACAAGUGCCUAUGCUGGGGGUGGGCACAGGCUUUUUGGAGGGUGACUUAGCCCCUGCCCCCCAGCUCAGCAAUUCUACUUCCCAGCGCCUCCCCGUAGAGAGCCUGGCAGAGACCUGCACUGUGGCGGCCACUGCAGUGAGCUGUAACAGCACCGCUGAAAACAGCCUGGAUGUCCAGCAAUAGGGGAUGAGGUAAACCCUGUGGGUUUCCCAUAUAUGCACAGCCUAGUGGCAAUUACAAGGACUGAGGAGGGAAAUGUUUGGCUUUGGGAUGCUGUGUGUCUAUGGAGACAGACUACUCCCCACUGUGCCCUGCAGCAGAGCAGGCUCUCUGGGAGGCACCCUAGCUGUGGAUUCAGGAAGAUGGGGCUGGCUAGAUGUUUCCUGCCCUGCUUGGAGGUUGGCUUCCCCCAUCUCCCACCUGCCCCCAUCCCAACCCAAACCUAACUGCAGUGGUUGGGGAUAAAGGAGAAAAUAAGUCUGGGUGUGAUAGCUCAUGCCUGAAAAUCUAAAACUCUGGGAAGCACAAGCAGGAGGAUAGCUUGAGCCCAGGAGUUCAAGACCAGUGUGGACAACAUAGUGAGACCUCGUCUCUUGAAAAAAAUCAAAACAGGCUGGGUGCGGUGGCUGACGCCUGUAAUCCCAGCACUUUGGGAGGUCAAGGUGGGAGGAUUGCCUGAGCCCAGAAGUAUGCUGGGAUUACAAGUGUGAGCCACCAUGACCAGCCCUGUAUUAUGGUUUUUUUUUUUUUUUUUUUUUUUUUUGAGACGGAGUCUCACUCUGUCGCCCAGGCUGAAGUGCAGUGGCACGAUCUCAGCUUAUCGCAACCUCCGCCUCCCGAGUUCAAGCAAUUCUCCUGCCUCAGCUUCCCGAGUAGCUGGGAUUACAGGCAUCCGCCACCACACCCAGCUAAUUUUUGUAUUUUUAGUUAGAGACAAGGUUCCACCAUGUUGGCCAGGCUGGUCUCGAACUCCUGACCUCAGGUGAUCCACCUGCCUCAGCCUCCCAAACUGCUGGGUGUAUUAUGUUUUUAAAGUAAAAAUGCAUUCAUGUAUUUCUUAUAUAAUAAGCCACUAAAUAAUUUUAAAAGUUUUUUUUUGGCCAGGUGCGGUGGCUCACACCUGUAAUCCCAGCACUUUGGGAGGCUGAGGUGGGCAGAUCACCUGAGGUUAGGAAUUCAAGACCAGCCCGGCUCAGCCUUCCAAGGAGCUGGGAUUACAGGCACAUGCCACCACGCCUGGCUAAUUUGUAUUUUUAGUAGAGACAGGGUUUCACCAUGUUGGCCAGGCUGGUCUAGAACUCCUGAUUCAGAUGAUCCGCCCACUUUGGCCUCCCAAAGUGCUGGGAUUACAGGCAUGAGCCACCAAGCCCAGCCAAAAUGUUUAAAUUAGUAAAGAAAGAAAAUUCUGGAAUUUUUUGUAGAGGUGGGGUCUCACUAAGUUGCCCAGGCUGGUCUCAAACCCCUAGGCUCAAGCAAUCCACCCAAAGUGCUGGGAUUACAGGCAGGAGACACUACACCCAGCCUAAAAAUUUUUUUUGAAAGCUUAAAACAAGGAAGGAAAAGGGAAAACGGAAGCUAAGGAGACCAGUGAAGAAGCUGUUGGCAAAGGGUGGUAAGACCUGAGCCGGCGUGUCCCCAUCUGUGAAAUGGGUACACCGAUCCCUAUGGUCACUGAAGCUGUUGAGAGGACCCCUGCGCUAAUGAGAGUGAACUCUGCAGUCUGUGAGGUUGGUGCCCCAGAUACUUAGCUGGAGGACAGGACUCUGCCCAAGUCCCUUGUAUGGGCCUACCUAUGGGGCCACCCUCCUCGCUAUGCCUGAUCCUCACAGGUUUCAGCACACUGGCCCCAGGUCACAGGGGCCGACCUGGGACAUAGAGAAAGAUCCAGCCAUGGGGCUACCUCCCAGAGCAGACACCAGCCCUUGACGGGCCCAGCAGCCAUGUUGGGUCUCCAUGCAAUUUAGUCUUAUGAGCCACAGCUCAGCUUAGACUCAGGCUCCAGGAAUAGGUCCCCAAGACACUCUCAUUCCCCAGUGGUUCCCAGCAGUAUUGGGACAACCAAAAUCAGCCUCAAACUGCUCAGGCCUUCCCCAGGGAUAUGACACUUAGCAGCUCCUGGGGCUGCCCAGGCUGAGAACUACCUAUCCCCAGCCCCAGGUAGAGAGCCCCAAGUCUGGCUGUAAGAACAAGGUGAAGCCAAAGACUCAAAAGCAGGUCCUUGCCUCCCGUGACUGCAGGCACAGCCCAGUGAGGGGCAGCAGGGCUGCCAAUGGUCCCCUGAAUUGGCACCCACUUCCUGGGUUUAGCACCACUGUGGCCUCAAGAGGCCCUAAAGGAGGGUUGUCAUGGCAUGCACCAUGGGUUCCUCACAUAGUUCCUCUGGCCCAGGGGAACACGUGUCCUAGAGGCAGCUGCUCCUGGCGUCACUGUUGGUAGGUCCAGAUGAAGGACAGGCCUCUGCCUGGGAGUGUCAGGAUGCAGAGAGGCUGCCUCAUUCCUGCUGCGGCAGCCAGGGUCCCCACACACUCACACUCAUGUCAGCGAGGUCACAGGAGGUCGUCUCUACAUGAGGCUGUGAUAAGGCUGCGUGGGAGCCUGCAUGCAGGCUCAGCAUCAUCCUGCCCGGGCGGGAACCCUGGUCCACCCUUGCUGUAGGACUUCAGUCAAAUGACAGCCUCUCUUGACCCUCAGUUUCCCCAACUGCAAAAGUAGCACCCGACAACAUGCACUGACCCCCCAGGGCUGCUGGGCGUGCUUGGCUGAUGGUUCACUCUCAGAAGUAUCUGUCCCUACCCACCUCGUAGGUGCGGUCAGGUGAGUUCUUCUCUGCCUCUGUUUCCACACUGCACCUGGAAGAAGCUGGAGGACCUGCUCUCCUAAUUGCUCCUCUACCACUGAUGUUGUAAGAAGGGGACACUGACUUGUCACUCUCUGCCAAUGUAGGAGCCAGGCACUGUCUCUGUUGGCUCAGGGCUGGGCUCCCAGGAAGUAAAAGCCUAAAGGCUUGUGGUGACUGCACCCUGGGGCGGCUGCUCCAUUGUUUCCUGUCAGUCCCGCUCAUCUGCUCAACAACCCUUUGGAGGAAACACACAGGAGGGUCCUGCCCUCUAGUGGCUGCCGGCGGCCAGGUCUCUCCUCACAGGGCUCCGCCCGCGACCUCAGAGGAGCCCACCGCCCUCUCUGCCUGCUCUAGUGCCUGCCGCACAGCAACAAGCAGGCAUUUCCUGGGGGUGAAGCCGAGGCUGGCCCCAUGAGCUGACACCCAGCAAUCUUCAUCUCCGAGCACCUUUGAGUCCUGGGGGGCCCUGCUUCCAGAUGUGAGCCCCCAGCCCGUGGGGCUGGGUGGUCCUGGGCUGUGCCACAGGGUUUCAGCCCACCGCGAAGGAGGCCUGACGGUGUCCAGGUCGAGGGCACCUGUGGGCAAUGAUUGACAUAACACUGCAGAGAGAGAGCCUGGUGGGGCACCGGCCUCUGCCCAGGCUGGGUUCCGGGGCCUUCCCCCAUGUGCCCACAUCCCAUGCUUCCCCCGUUACAGCCUCUGCCGUCAGACUGCGCACCAGCAUCUGUGGGUGAGGAGAGAACCUGGGCUGGGGCUUGACACAAAAGGGGCUUUGCCUCUGGACACCCCCACCUGUGCCGCAAGUGGAGGGGGCGGGGAAACGGGGAGGAGGGAAAGUAAGCGGAAGUCCCGCCUCUGUGGAAGCGCCUCUGCACCCUUUGUCCCCCAAGGGAAGCACAAGUGUGUGGCCAGUCAGAUAAAGCAGGCCUUUCCUUGCCUUUAUGGAGCCACGGGCUGAGGCUGGACCAAGGGUCAGUGAGGGGUUCAGGAGGCCCCCUCUGCGCCUCUCUUCCAGGCCCUGAGCCCAUCAUUCCCUUCGUUGUUAGAGUGAAACUGUGAAGAGCCGCAGCUCUGUGCCGGGCGAAGAGGAUUUGGCAGUGAAAAGGAUGAGCUUGCCUUGCCCUGGGGGCAACUGGCACCUGGGCCGCGCUUCCCAAGAAGAAUGGAAAAGUCAACUGGUGAAGAAUCGACUGCGCUGGAACAAGGGCUAACUGCUGCUAAUUCAUCUGAAGGAUAAUUGAGAAGUAUUUAUAAGUCUUCCUUCAUUAGGCCCCUAAAGGAGGCUGAACUACAUUAAGAGCCCAUCUUCCCAAUUGUGCUCUGAUACACCCAGACAGUUCUGGUUAAAAAUGAGUAACACUAAAUAAUGGGACUGAUUAUGCCAAGGUAAUUGGGGACUGACUGAUAAUGCAAAUCAGUAAGUCUUCCCUCUCCUCAAAUUCUUCAAGUAAAACACCUUUUCUGCCACCUUGAAAGCUAGUUAGCAAAUGAAAUAUUUACAACAUUAAGGACCAAUUCACUCAGGUAAGUAAAUAAUAGUGAAGCAAAUAAUUUUUCGUCUGCAUCUGAUUGUCUCAGAAGUCUCAUUUCCAAAUUAAAUACACAAGUCUCAGUUACUUCCUGGACACUCAUGGAAUAUUCAGUAAAUAAAUUUUAGAGUAGUGAUCUUGUUCAGUUGCUUUUUUUUCUUUUUUACUUAUUUUUUUGGAAACAGAGUCUCGCUCUGUCACCCAGGCUGGAGUGCAGUGGCGCGAUCUUGGCUCACUGCAACCUCUGCCUCCCGGGUUCAAGUGACUCUCCUGCCUCAGCCUCCUGAGUAGCUGGAAUUACAGGCAUCUGCCACCAUGCCCGGCUAAUUUUUGCAUUUUUAGUAGUGACGGGGUUUCACCAUGUUGGCCAGACUGGUCUCAAACUCCUGACCUCAGGCGAUCCACCUGCCUCGGCCUCCCAAAGUGCUGGGAUUACAGGCGGGAGCCACCGCGCCCGGCUUUCAGUUGCUUUUUCUAGUCCAUUGUGUUUCAUUGUCUUUGAGAAAUUUCUAGGGGACCCCUGAUACUUGAGCCUUAGCUCAUCUUCUUUCCAAAUCUGGUCCUUUCUGACAGGCUCCACAGGCCUCCCGGCUUCCAGUGUGCCUUCCAGAACUCUUCCUUAGGGCCACUGAGAACCUUGUGCAAGCAGCUUCAUGAGUCCGUGGGUCAGCUCCCAAAGGUGCUCAGGAUCGAGCUGCUGGUGGAAGCUCUCCUCACUAGCAAGCCCCCUGCACACCCGUCUCACUUGCCAUCGGUGCCUGGCCCCCAUAAACUGCAGGAGUGUGUAAAUAUGUGAAGGAGGCCAGGCGCGGUGGCUCACGCCUGUAAUCCCAGCACUUUGGGAGGCGGAGGCAGGCAGAUCACUUGCGGUCAGGAGUUCCAGACCAGCCUGGCCAACAUGGUGAAACCCCCUCCCUACUAAAAAUACAAAAAUUAGCCAGGUGUGGUGGUGCAUGCCUGCAGUCCCAGCUACUGGGAGGCUGAGGCACGAGAAUUGCUUGCACCUGGGAGGCAGAAGUUGCUGUGAGCCAAGAUCGUGCCACUGCACUCCAGCCCGGGCAACAGAACGAGACUCUCUCAAAAAAUAAAUAAAAUAUGUGAAGGAUAUCCCCUGUUCGGAUUCUCUCUCUUCUUUAGUCCCCACCCCGUUUUCAGCCAUGGCUCUUCUAAGACUAGGCCAGGGAUCAUGCUGCCCCUGAUUUCCCACUGUGAACUGAACUCCAUCCAUCCCAGAGGCCACACAGCAACACUCACAGCUCCCACCGUCCGGGCCUGCCCAGCCUCUCACCUGAGCCCCUCCUCCUCCAGGUUCUGGAUGCUCCCAGCUCCUGCCUGUCUCUUCCUCAACAUCAAAAGCUGCUCAGGAAAUAAUUUUUUUUUUUUUUGGAGUGGGGGGACAGGGUCUUGCUCUGUCAUCCAGGUUGGAGCGCGAACAUGCUCAUUGCAGCCUUGAAAUCCUGGGCUCAAGCAAUCCUUUGCACCUCAGCCUCCCGUAUAGGAACUACAGGUGCGUGCCACCACGCCCAGCUAGUUUUUAAAUUUUUUUGUAGAGAUGGGGUCUCCCUGUGUUGCCCAGGUUGGUCUCAAAAUCCCGGGCUCAAGCAAUCCUCCUGCUUCAGCCUCCGAAAGUGUUGAGAUUAUAGGCGCAAGCCACAACGCCUGGCCCGGCAAAGAAUUCUUUUUUCUUUUUUCCUCUCACUAGAGAACAAAAAGGAAAUAAAUCUUGAUGGGGUUAUUUUACAUCUUAGUGUGAAUGAGUCACCGAGUUCUCUGCGGAAUCUGAAUUUCCAGUAUCCUCUCUAAUUCUGGAAAUAACAGUCUUUGAACUAGGUGAAAGGAAAUUCUGGAAAUAACAGUCUUUGAACUAGGUGAAAGGAAAUUCUAUCACCUGAUGGAGGAGGAUAUUAGAGUGAAGGGGCUGUCCUAGACCCCCUGAAAUCACACACUUGCCCUGCUCUGUGCUGAAACUAGUCCUGACUUCUCAAGGAAUGGCCGUUUAAUAAACAAACAAAACAAGGACCAGGCCAGAUGGAGAAGACAGGAGAGAAGUCCCGCAAACAACGGGAAAUACAGCUUAAGGGGGGAUGGGGAGAGGAGCAAAGGAGACACCACAGGCCUUUCAGUCCCAGACACAGGAGGUGCCAGGAUACCAUCCCUCUUCCAAAGUCAAGAAGCCCAGUCCCAGCUACAACAUCAACAGAGAGAGAAACGUUCCAGCUGAGGAACACCAAAGGUUCACAUCCUCAAGUUACUUACCUACCCUCCUUAUGAAAUUAAAGAAUUUUUGUCCCUUUUGGAGGGAGAAGGGGUAUGAAAGAAGAAAGGUCUUUUCAAAAGUGUGAAGAAAAUAUUUUAUUUCUUAUUAAACCAGGGGACUGAUGUGAAACUAGC